CUCCCACUCAAAUUUUGAAUCAACAGUCUAGAUUUCCUUCUAACUAACCCGAUCAUGCGAUCUAGAUUUUAUGAAGUACAAACGGUCCAUAUUUGUGUUAGGUAGAAUCCAAUAGGCAUGAUUUAGAGAGAUGUGAAAUGAUGAAAAAGGGUUUAAUGAAACCCUUGAUUGGACGACUGAGGUUCAAAAGGUCAUGGUUGAAUGGCUAGGUGUUGAUUUCGCACCUCAAAAGAUGAAAAAGCCUCCCUUUUGAUUUGACAACCUGAAUCUUUAGAGAGAUUGAUCAUAUGACCCAUUCCUAGGGUAUAAAAAUAAACUCUAGAUUAGUCUCCCCAUUUUGGGAGAGAGCUACUGCUGAAGAGAUAGAGAGAGAGAGUGAGUGAGAGAAGAGAUCGAGCAAAAGAGGGAGAGACUAUUUGAGGCAAUUUCUGGUGAAAUGCAACCACGAAAGAGCGAUGAAUGGGGUUUUAAGAGAUGGAAGCAACGCUGACCUUUCUAGCCUAUGUAAAGUAGAACAC
rnacentral:lncRNA from 1 species